GUGCCAGCAGCCGCGGUAAUACGGAGGAUCCGAGCGUUAUCCGGAUUUAUUGGGUUUAAAGGGUGCGUAGGCGGGAUAAUAAGUCAGUGGUGAAAGUUUGCAGCUUAACUGUAAAAUUGCCGUUGAAACUGUUAUUCUUGAGAGUAGAUAAGGUAGGCGGAAUGUGUUGUGUAGCGGUGAAAUGCAUAGAUAUAACACAGAACCCCGAUUGCGAAGGCAGCUUACCGGGCUACAUCUGACGCUGAUGCACGAAAGCGUGGGGAUCAAACAGGAUUAGAUACCCUGGUAGUCCACGCAGUAAACGAUGAAUACUAGCUGUAUGCGAUAUAUUGUAUGUGGCAAAGCGAAAGCAUUAAGUAUUCCACCUGGGGAGUACGUUCGCAAGAAUGAAACUCAAAGGAAUUGACGGGGGCCCGCACAAGCGGAGGAACAUGUGGUUUAAUUCGAUGAUACGCGAGGAACCUUACCCGGGCUUGAAAUGCAAUCGACGGUAGUGGAAACAUUACUUCCAGCAAUGGCGAUUGUGUAGGUGCUGCAUGGUUGUCGUCAACUCGUGCCGUGAGGUGUCGGCUUAAGUGCCAUAACGAGCGCAACCCUUAUCAUUAGUUGCCAUCGGGUUAUGCCGGGAACUCUAAUGAGACUGCCACCGUAAGGUGUGAGGAAGGUGGGGAUGACGUCAAAUCAGCACGGCCCUUACGUCCGGGGCGACACACGUGUUACAAUGGGGGGUACAGCGGGCAGCUACCUGGCGACAGGAUGCUAAUCUCUGAAAGCCUCUCUCAGUUCGGAUCGGAGUCUGCAACUCGACUCCGUGAAGCUGGAUUCGCUAGUAAUCGCGCAUCAGCCAUGGCGCGGUGAAUACGUUCCCGGGCCUUGUACACACCGCCCGCAAGCCAUGGAAGCCGGGGGGACCUGAAGUACGUAACCGUAAAGGACGUCCUAGGGUAAAACCGGUACUGGGGCUAAGUCGUAACAAGGUAACC
rnacentral:rRNA from 1 species